rnacentral:rRNA from 1 species
ACCCGCUGAACUUAAGCAUAUCAAUAAGCGGAGGAAAAGAAACCAACAGGGAUUGCCCUAGUAAUGGCGAGUGAAGCGGCAACAGCUCAAAUUUGAAAUCUGGCGUCUUUGGCGUCCGAGUUGUAAUUUGCAGAGGGCGCUUUGGCAUUGGCAGCGGUCCAAGUUCCUUGGAACAGGACGUCACAGAGGGUGAGAAUCCCGUACGUGGUCGCUAGCCUUUACCGUGUAAAGCCCCUUCGACGAGUCGAGUUGUUUGGGAAUGCAGCUCUAAAUGGGAGGUAAAUUUCUUCUAAAGCUAAAUACUGGCCAGAGACCGAUAGCGCACAAGUAGAGUGAUCGAAAGAUGAAAAGCACUUUGGAAAGAGAGUUAAAAAGCACGUGAAAUUGUUGAAAGGGAAGCGCUUGCAGCCAGACUUGCCUGUAGUUGCUCAUCCGGGUUUUUACCCGGUGCACUCUUCUAUAGGCAGGCCAGCAUCAGUUUGGGCGGUUGGAUAAAGGUCUCUGUCAUGUACCUCUCUUCGGGGAGAACUUAUAGGGGAGACGACAUGCAACCAGCCCGGACUGAGGUCCGCGCAUCUGCUAGGAUGCUGGCGUAAUGGCUGU